rnacentral:lncRNA from 1 species
UCAAAACAUACCACUAUACAUGCAAUAUGCAAAUACAUACAAGUUUAACUGUCAAAUAAAAAUGAAAUACUUCUACAAUUUCUUUUCUUUCUUCUCUGUUUCUCUAUUUAGGUUAGCUUGUGGACCUAUAGACCUAGGUCCUGAAGAGAGUCAGAAAAGAGAUUCUAAUGUCAUGGGUGUAAGUUUUGGUCUAGAGACUCAGAUAUAAGACUGAUCUCUUGGAUGGUUCAUUUUAUGUGUCUACUUAAUUGCAUUAUGGGGUGCCCAGAUAAUUAAACAUUAUUCUGAAUGUGUCUUUAGAUUUCCCACCUAAACCUUGGAGAACUAUGUAGAACAAAAAAGUCUAAGUAAAAGAGAAUUUGCUUUUUCUGCCUCUUUUUGAGCUUGGACAUUUGUCUUCUCCUGCCUUUGAACUUAAAUUCAGACUGGAACUGAUACCAUUGGUUCUCCUGGUUCUCAGGUCUUUGGACUCUGACUGGAACUAUGCAUUGGCUUUGUUGGAUCACCAGCUUGCUGACUAUAUAUCUUGGCACUUCUCAUCUUCUAUAAACAUAUAAGCCAAUUCCUUAUAAUAAUUCUAUCUAUCUAUAUCCAUCCAUUUAUUGAUUCUAUUGGUUCUGUUUCUCUGGAGAACCCAGACUGAUACAUCUCAUUUUGCUGUUCUUCUUAUUUCACCUUAACUUCAACUUUAUUCCUUCUAUGUCCUUGGACUAAUGAGAAAUCUAACUCCAGUUUUCUUGGCCUUGAAACCUAGAAACAGAGAACCCAACCAUUAAGCCAAGGAGAAAUUUUCAGGAUUUUUGCCAUUGAUCAUUUAUCAUUAGUUACUCAGAUGACAUGUUCUUUUUAGGACCAAUAGUUUUUGCACCUUUGGGCCCACGAGUGGUGCAAGGGCAUUUCUUAUGAGGCUUCAAAUAUAAAGCUAGUUCCCCUCCUAGGUCUUGCCAAUUUUCCAGGAUAGUGUCAGGGAACAGGGCAUGG